rnacentral:sRNA from 1 species
UUACUUAACAGGAUUAGAAAAAUGGCAAAUUGAAAAAGAAAAUAAAGCUUCAUAAGUUCCAUAAAUAGCUACAAACUUGAACUAUGGACGAAGAGAUCGCUAACACAAACAAAGAAUAGACUAAAAUACAGCAAGACAGCAUGAUACAUUUUUGGCCUGAAAUCUCACUAAAUGGAAUCAUUAUGUAGAAUAUUGAAAAUAGGCAUCAAGGCAUCAAGAAUCAAAUAGAGUAUAAAACAGCAAAAGGGAUAACAUAGAAGAAAUACUUCACUCACAAUAAUCAGUAACAAAUAAAACAUUAGCUCGUGUUGAGGCUGCGGUAUUCAGGGAUCUGUCGAUUUUGAUACCGAUUUCAAUAACCAGAAAAAAGAAGACUACCAAGAUAAAUAACCAUUGCAAACAUGGGUCAUUUUGCACAAUAACCAAUCCAGGGUGAAAGCGGACAACCAUAAUAAUAUAACACGAUGCACACAUCCAUAGUCCUAAAUACUGAGCCGGCACAUCCUGUUCCAAACCUAGCAUAUCCUUACCAAAUACCAUAGAAACUCCAAAAAAGAAAUCAAAAAGGGAGAAAAGUUCAACAUGUUCAGGCAA